UUCAAUUGGGCAGAAUCGCAAUCUCCUUUAGGGUUUCAAGAACCCUUAUUAACACUUAUUUCUAUUCUCAAUUUGAUUCUUUGCUGUUUUGGGGAUUUUAUUUCAAAUCUGAAAAUUCAAAGUUCUAAUCUUUUAAUUUUCUGUUUCGUUUCAGAUCUGAUUGUUUAGGGUUUUCGUAGGAGUUUCCCGUGACUUGGCAACUCGAUCUUGGUCCACGCGCAUUCCU
rnacentral:lncRNA from 1 species